rnacentral:rRNA from 1 species
CCUACGGGAGGCAGCAGUGGGGAAUAUUGGACAAUGGGCGAAAGCCUGAUCCAGCAAUACCGCGUGUGUGAAGAAGGCCUUAGGGUUGUAAAGCACUUUCAAUUGGGAGGAAAACCUGCCGGUCAAUACCCGGUAGCUUGACAUUACCUUUAGAAGAAGCACCGGCUAACUCCGUGCCAGCAGCCGCGGUAAUACGGAGGGUGCGAGCGUUAAUCGGAAUUACUGGGCGUAAAGCGUGCGUAGGCGGUUCGUUAAGUCAGAUGUGAAAGCCCCGGGCUCAACCUGGGAACUGCAUUUGAAACUGGCGGACUAGAGUUUAGUAGAGGGGAGUGGAAUUUCAGGUGUAGCGGUGAAAUGCGUAGAUAUCUGAAGGAACACCAGUGGCGAAGGCGACUCCCUGGACUAGAACUGACGCUGAGGUACGAAAGCGUGGGUAGCAAACAGGAUUAGAUACCCUGGUAGUCCACGCCGUAAACGAUGUCGACUAGCCGUUGGUCCUAUUUACAGGAUUAGUGGCGCAGCUAACGCAUUAAGUCGACCGCCUGGGGAGUACGGCCGCAAGGUUAAAACCUUAANAAGAAUUGACGGCUGAGAGNGCGACGACGACGACGAGGAGAGG